rnacentral:rRNA from 1 species
GACGAACGCUGGCGGCGUGCUUAACACAUGCAAGUCGAACGGAAAGGCCCUGCUUUUGUGGGGUGCUCGAGUGGCGAACGGGUGAGUAACACGUGAGUAACCUGCCCUUGACUUUGGGAUAACUUCAGGAAACUGGGGCUAAUACCGGAUAGGAGCUCCUGCUGCAUGGUGGGGGUUGGAAAGUUUCGGCGGUUGGGGAUGGACUCGCGGCUUAUCAGCUUGUUGGUGGGGUAGGGGCUUACCAAGGCUUUGACGGGUAGCCGGCCUGAGAGGGUGACCGGCCACAUUGGGACUGAGAUACGGCCCAGACUCCUACGGGAGGCAGCAGUGGGGAAUAUUGCACAAUGGGCGGAAGCCUGAUGCAGCAACGCCGCGUGCGGGAUGACGGCCUUCGGGUUGUAAACCGCUUUCGCCUGUGACGAAGCGUGAGUGACGGUAAUUGGUAAAGAAGCACCGGCUAACUACGUG